GACGAACGCUGGCGGCGUGCUUAACACAUGCAAGUCGAACGAUGACGACCGAGCUUGCUCGGUCUGAUUAGUGGCGAACGGGUGAGUAACACGUGAGCAACCUGCCCUUCACUCUGGGAUAACCCCGGGAAAUCGGGGCUAAUACCGGAUAUGAGCUCCUGUCGCAUGGCGGGUGUUGGAAAGUUUUUCGGUGAAGGAUGGGCUCGCGGCCUAUCAGUUUGUUGGUGAGGUAGUGGCUCACCAAGGCGAUGACGGGUAGCCGGCCUGAGAGGGCGACCGGCCACACUGGGACUGAGACACGGCCCAGACUCCUACGGGGGGCAGCAGUGGGGAAUAUUGCACAAUGGGCGAAAGCCUGAUGCAGCGACGCCGCGUGAGGGAUGACGGCCUUCGGGUUGUAAACCUCUUUCAGCAGGGAAGAAGCGAAAGUGACGGUACCUGCAGAAGAAGCGCCGGCUAACUACGUG
rnacentral:rRNA from 1 species